UAAAAAGUUACUCUAAGAGCAUAUGAUGGAUGCCUAGACGUAUUGUUACCGAUUAAGGACGUAGAAGGCUGCGAUAAGCCUCGGGAAGCUGCCAAUCAAGCUUUGAUCCGGGGAUUUCCGAAUGGGGCAACCCAAUCCCGGUAAUGCGGGAUUACCAUUAGCUGAAUACAUAGGCUAAUUGGAGGGAACCGGGGGAACUGAAACAUCUCAGUACCUCGAGGAAAAGAAAACAACCGUGAUUCCCUAAGUAGCGGCGAGCGAACGGGGAACAGCCCAAACCUAUAGAUUUUCCAAUCCGGCAGCUGCCGGAGGUUUACUGAGUUAAUAAAUUUAAGGUGUUGUAAGUUUGCGGAUGACCACUAAAGUUUUUAGCCCAAUGACUAUUAGUCUUUGUACUAAUGCUCAUUAGCUAAAACUUCAGUGUGACCACUUUUCAGUUUAAGUGGAUGAAGUUACAAAAUGAAGUGAUUAAUGGAAGGCGCCUGGAAAGGACCACCAUAGAGCGUGAUAGUCGCGUACAUAAAAACACUUCGUCUUUAUAUCCGUUUUCUUGAGUAGGACGGGACACGUGAAACCCUGUCUGAAUCCGCCCCGACCACGGGGCAAGGCUAAAUAUAACAUACGAUCGAUAGUGAACUAGUACCGUGAGGGAAAGGUGAAAAGUACCCCGCAAGGGGAGUGAAAUAGAAUCCUGAAAUCAUAUGCUUACAAUGAGUGGGAGUCCCGACUUGUCGGGAUGACCGCGUGCUUUUUGUAGAACGAUCCAGCGAGUUAAUUUAUGUAGCUUGGUUAAGCUUUAGAACAAGCGGAGCCGUAGUGAAAGCGAGCGUUAAUAGCGCGCCCGUCAUUUGGCGGAUUGUUGCAUGAAUUAGACCCGAAACCGAGUGAUCUAACCAUGGGCAGGCUGAAGCGUCGGUAAAACGGCGUGAAGGGCCGAACCAGUGCGUGAUGCAAUACGCUUGGAUGACCUGUGGUUAGCGGUGAAAUGCUAAUCGAACUCGGAGAUAGCUGGUUCUCCCCGAAAUAGCUUUAGGGCUAGCGUCAUAAACUAGCUUUCGGAGGUAGAGCUCUGAAUGGGUUAGGACCUUUUUAAGGUACCAAGCCCAAUCAAACUUCAAAUGCCGAAAGUAAAUAUUAUGGCAGUCAGAAAGUGGGGGCUAAGCUCCAUUUUCAAAAGGGAAACAACCCAGAUCGCCAUCUAAGGUCCCCAAAUUUAUGCUAAGUGGGAAACGAUGUGAAAUUGCUUGGACAACCAGGAUGUUGGCUUAGAAGCAGCCAUGCAUUUAAAGAGUGCGUAACAGCUCACUGGUCAAGUGAUUUUGCGCGGAAAAUAUAACGGGGCUCAAGCAUAGUACCGAAGAUGCGACUUCCGCCUUUGGCGGAGGGGUAGGGGAGCGUUCCUCGUGCGCUGAAGUCCCGACGUGAGUCGGGAUGGAGCGCGGGGAAGUGAGAAUGCUGGAAUGAGUAACCAUAAGGCAAGUGAGAAUCUUGCCCACCGUAAGACCAAGGUUUCCUGGGCAACGUUUAUCGACCCAGGGUUAGUCGGUCCUAAGCCGAGGCGGAUAGCGUAGGCGAUGGACAACAGGUUAAUAUUCCUGUACCGGUGAUAUUGUUGCUUAAGUAAGACGCAGAAUGGUAGCCUGAGCGGACUUUUGGUUAUGUCCGUCUAAGUAUGUAGUCCCCGAUUUAUCGGGGGUGAAACACAAAUGAAAUCCCUGCAAAGGGAAAUUCGGGUAAGCCAAGCUGACCAGAAAAUUACUUAAGUUUAUAGAUAUUACCGACCGUACCGCAAACCAACUCAGGUGGUCGGGUAUAAGAGUACCAAGGUGUUCGGGAGAACCCUCGUUAAGGAACUCGGCAAAACAGCGGCCGUAACUUCGGGAUAAGGCCUGCCUCGGCGCUCUUCACUGCGUGAAGAGCCGCUAGAGAUUAGGAGCUGGAAGCUAGAGGCUAGAGUUUCUAAAAAAAAUAAAAAACAAGCUUCAAGCUUCGGACUCCGAACUUCAAGCUCACGCGUAGCGAUGAGCGUCGGGGCCGCAGCGAAAGAACCCAUGCGACUGUUUAUCAAAAACACAGGUCUGUGCUAACACGAAAGUGGAUGUAUACGGGCUGACGCCUGCCCAGUGCCGGAAGGUUAAGUAGCGGAGUGCAAGCUCCAAAAUGAAGCCCCGGUGAACGGCGGCGGUAACUAUAACCGUCCUAAGGUAGCGAAAUUCCUUGUCGGGUAAGUUCCGACCCGCACGAAUGGCGUAACGAUAUGGGUACUGUCUCAACGAGGGACCCGGUGAAAUUGCAAUAGCGGUAAAGAUGCCGUUUACCCGCACCAAGACGGAAAGACCCCGUGCAGCUUUACUACAGCUUGGCAUUGUGUCUGGCUUGAGUUUGUAUAGUAUAGGUGGGAGACUUUGAAGCUCCGGCGCUAGCCGGAGUGGAGUCAUCAGUGAAAUACCACCCUAACUUAAGCUUGGCUCUAACCCCGGCCGCAAUAUGCGCAUAUAUUUCAUGUGCUCAUAUUCCGGUCGGGGAACAGUGUCUGGUGGGUAGUUUAACUGGGGCGGUUGCCUCCUAAAGAGUAACGGAGGCGUUCAAAGGUUGGCUAGGUUUGGAUGGAAAUCAAACCGAUAGUGCAAACGCAUAAGCCAGCUUGACUGCGAGACCUACAAGUCAAGCAGGUACGAAAGUAGGAGUUAGUGACCCACUGCAUUUUCCGACGUAAGUCGGAAUUGAGAGUGGAAUCGGCAGUGCUCAACGGAUAAAAGCUACGCCGGGGAUAACAGGCUUAUAGCGCCCAAUAGUCCACAUAGACGGCGCUGUUUGGCACCUCGAUGUCGGCUCGUCUCAUCCUGGAGGGGAAGCACCUUCCAAGGGUAUGGCUGUUCGCCAUUUAAAGAGGUACGCGAGCUGGGUUCAGAACGUAAAUUACAUUGCGCUCUACUACUGAGAAGUAGUAAAAUACUGAUGUACAUCGCAUCUACAGUAUUAAAUCCGACUAUAUCGGUGAAACCCUACUGGAUCAUUCGAACGGAUCCAAGGGCAAUACCGAGGGAAGAUUAUUUGAUGUCAAAUGAAGAAAUAGCCUAUAUAGCUGGUUUUUUGGAUGGUGACGGAUCAAUAAUGGCUCAACUUGUAUAUCGUAAAGAUUACAAGUUAGGUUAUCAGAUUCGUACCAGCGUUGUUUUUUAUCAAAAAAGCAACCAUAAAGACUAUCUUCUGUGGUUACAGAAGCAGCUAGAUUAUGGAUAUGUUCGUGAUCGUAAUGACGGCAUGAGCGAAUACACCAUAGUUGGUUUUAGAGAAGUGAAAUUUGUAUUGAAACUUCUACAUCCCUUUCUUCGUUUAAAGAAAAAUCUUGCAUCUGAAGUGUUGAGUAUUAUAAACCAGCACCCCAAAAAGCUUAGUACUGCAAAGUUACUAAGCUUGGCAGUAUUGGUAGAUAAAACAGCUCGUUUCAACUAUUCGAAACGGCGCACCAAUACUUCAGAGGUAGUGAGAGAAUUUCUUGUAAAACAACAUUUAAUCCCCGUAGAGACUGAUUCUCGAAAUAGACCAUCGAGAUGAGAUUGGCCAGUUUACUGGCAGAUCAUACGUCGGCCCCUAGCUACAUACAAAGUAGAAGGGUGAAGAUAUAGUCCAUGCCACUCGUAAUAGUGGAUAUGGCCGUGCAAUUGCACGAUUUGUAACGAGAUAGCAUCAAACUUACAAAUUAUCACUUUUAAGUGAUGGUCUCAUGCGUGAGACAGUUCGGUCCCUAUCUGGUGUGGGCGUAAGGAAAUUUGAGGGAAGCUGCUUCUAGUACGAGAGGACCGAAGUGGACGAACCUCUGGUGUACCGGUUGUCGCACCUGCGGCAUUGCCGGGUAGCUACGUUCGGACGGGAUAAACGCUGAAAGCAUAUAAGCGUGAAGCCCCUCCCAAGAUUAGAUUUCCCCAUUAGACUCCAUGUAGACUACGUGGUUGAUAGGCACUAGGUGUAAGUUCGGUAACGGAUUCAGCCGAGGUGUACUAAUAGUCGAUUGACUUUUUACU
rnacentral:rRNA from 1 species